UCCCAGGGUACAUGUGCAGGAUUUGCUGGUUUGUUACAUACGAAACAUGUAUCAUGGUGGUUUGCUGCACAGAUCAUCCCAUCACCCAGUAACUCUGUAUUCCAUGAAGAUAGGAAUGGUGACUGUAAUGAAGUAUCCAAUAAUAGAGGACAAUUAAUGCUUACGAAACAAAUACAUGAAUCAAUGAGUAGAUGGAAGCUUCUGUAAGCAUCUACAACAUCAGGAAGUGAUGAGGUUUCUUCCUUGAAGUAUUUCAGCUCCACAGUUCUGAUGUGUACCUUUCCUCAGACACAAAAGAAAGAACUGUAACAAGUCACAGAUAUCCUUGAUGUUCAAAAUAUGUUGUUGCUGAAAAAUUUUAAAGGAUUUUUCCAACAAAGUCCCAUGAAUUUAUCCAAUAUCUCCCUGUAAUGGCAUGUGAAUAAAUGUACGAUUUAUUGUGUUAUAUUUGCCGAAGAGAAAUCUGUCAAAUGAGGAUGUCUAGA
rnacentral:lncRNA from 10 species